UCACUAUACCUAUGGUGAACAUGGUAUCCUGCUGCAUUGAUGUUCCACCCAGGCUCUUUGGGGUCAGGGAUCUUUGCUGUUUUGGCGAUCAGAUGCUGAAGAUCCCUCCACGUCAGCUCAGGACUAGGACACUGGCUUCUUCUGAAGGACAGACAACAACAGGAGGAAUAGAACUGGAACUGACAUCACUGUUACAAAGACAAUAACAGUGAAGCAUGUUGUCCAGCACACACAUGAAUGUGAUGGGCUGCAGCUCACAGGAGAUUGGGGCAGAGUGCAACAAUACAUGAGCCUCCUCCAGACCCUUACAGCCUUCAUCCCCUCGCCAAGGCUCACAAAGCAGCACAGCGGCCGUCACAGAAUGAGCAGCCCUGGGCCCUCAGAGCAUGCCCACGAAUAAUUUAUCACUCACACUGGGCCCAGGCAGAGGAUGAGGACGAGGAGGAUGAGGAGGAGGAGGACGAGGAGGAGGAGACAUGGGAGCGCAAGGACAAAGUGUCCAGCCCAGGGGAGAGAACGCGAAAGAUGGGCAAUUGAGGGGACAGAAAGAUGGAGGCGUGAAGAAAGAGAGAGAGAUCAGGGCUCAGAGGAAAACACUGUCAGCGCCCGAUCAUUUAGAAGCAUCACACUCAACAUUUUUUUCUGAAACUGAAGGAGAUAACACUAACAGUCAAGCUUGUUAGUCAGCAGGAUAUAAUGUGUUGCUACAAGACAAGCCGCAGUUUAAACCCCACUGUCUCAUCCCAGGCAGCACAUCUUCUGCUUGGACACUUUGUAUUUAGAUCUUCUGCCGGCCACAUCGCAGCUUUAGUUGAAAGGCAGAGAAACUAAAACACAUGUGGGUAUACAUUUACACAGAAGCACAGAAACACCCACAUAUAGAGACAAACACACACAGCAGAAGCAAAAUCACACCCACACACACAUGCAAACACCCAUACAGACCCACAAACCAACAACUGCUGCACAACUACACCCACAUACACCCCACCCUAUAACGGAUCAGAGUCCAAUGUUCUCUCUGUCUCUGUCCUUAGUUCGUCUCUAUUAAUCUCACAGUAGCGAGGCGCAGACUGGUAAGACGCUCCACAUCGCUCUGUAAUCUUCUCUUAAUGUGCUGCACUCUAAGCCUAAGUGAACCCAUUUGGAGUGACUGUGAGCAGACUGAGAUUCCUCCCAUGUUAUCUGAACAAGUGUUACUAAUGGGUUUAUCAAUUAGGCCAAGUCCAAUAACUGCAUGCCUGCAAUCUCCUUUAAAUACACUCCACCGGCGUAGCCCUGAUUUCUGUGGUUAAUGAAUACAUGUGUACCCGUGUGUGUGUGUGUGUGUUUGUAUGACUGUGAGACCACAGACAGUUUGCCUCUGUAUGCCUGUAUAUGUGUGUAUAUUUCUAUGAUUGGUUCAGCACCAUGUGCACAAAUUAAUGAGAUUUGUGAGAAUUGUGAGAGCUUAAUAUGCGUGUUGAAUGUUCAUAUGUGUCUAUGCUUGUCUCUUUGUAUGACAAAUUGUGUACGUACACUCUUUGCAUGUGUUCAUAUACAAAUCAUUGUGUAUGUGUGUCUGUAUGUCACUUCUUGUGCACCAAUACUCUACAUUGUAAUGUGGAGUAUGUUCACUGCCUUUGAACGUACUGUAUUGUACUUGUUUGUGUUUACAUGUAUACAGUUUUUGUGUAUUGUGCACCCCACCCCGAUAUGGGCAAAAUAAUUUUUUGGCAUUUUGAUGAUGUCUAUAGUUGAUGAUACUUUUCUGUUUACAUAAAAAUAUAAUGUUACUUUUUGU